GCGCCCCUUAGCUCAGGGGAUAGAGCACCGGCCUCCGGAGCCGGGUGCGGAGGUUCGAAUCCUCCAGGGGGCA
rnacentral:tRNA from 1 species